rnacentral:rRNA from 1 species
CCCGCUGAACUUAAGCAUAUCAAUAAGCGGAGGAAAAGAAACCAACAGGGAUUGCCCCAGUAACGGCGAGUGAAGCGGCAACAGCUCAAAUUUGAAAUCUGGCCUUCGGGUCCGAAUUGUAAUUUGCAGAGGAUGCUUUUGGUGAGGUGCCUUCCGAGUUCCCUGGAACGGGACGCCAUAGAGGGUGAGAGCCCCGUCUGGUCGGACACCAAUCCUUUGUAAAGCUCCUUCGACGAGUCGAGUAGUUUGGGAAUGCUGCUCUAAAUGGGAGGUAUAUGUCUUCUAAAGCUAAAUACCGGCCAGAGACCGAUAGCGCACAAGUAGAGUGAUCGAAAGAUGAAAAGCACUUUGAAAAGAGAGUUAAACAGUACGUGAAAUUGUUGAAAGGGAAGCGCUCAUGACCAGACUUGGGCUUGGUUGAUCAACUUGGGUUCUCCCGGGUGCACUCUUCCUCGUCCAGGCCAGCAUCAGUUCGCUGCGGGGGAUAAAGGUUUCGGGAAUGUGGCUCCCUCGGGAGUGUUAUAGCCCGUUGCGUAAUACCCUGCGGUGGACUGAGGUCCGCGCAUCUGCAAGGAUGCUGGCGUAAUGGUCAUCAGCGACCCGUCUUGAAACACGG